GCUGACGUGGUCGCGACGUGACGUGUGGCUGGUUCAUGUCGUCGCGUAGAUAUAAAGGUGAGCCGAGAGUCGGAGGAGGGCGUUCGUCCAGCUCCGGCCCCUGUGAGUGGUCACGGAGCAACCUGAGGAGGUCGAGGCUGCGCCGCACGCUACCGUUACUCUAGCACGCUGACAUCAGGAAGAUGGGACUAUGCGUCGGCGGCUACGGCCCGCGAUGUGGACCAUGUAGUUGUUGGAGAGCAACCCGGUAGGCAGUGUAUCGCGUUCCGACUUGUCAGGCUGACUCUGGCCGAGCGGAAUAUCCCGGAACACCAGUGGUAUCGCCAGGGCGACCUGACGGGUCGCCGUACCGCGAAAACUAGCGUCGUUGGUCGUCGGCGAUCGCCUCGACAACUCGUUGGACGGGCGUCCUCGGGGUGCGUCAAGUCCCACAUAUCCCGUAUGCCCCCUAGGCGCGGAUACCUCGUAGGAAGUUAAGAACCUGCCAGGAAAAAAGGAAUUGUCCUUAGAUAUUUGGUGCCGAUUACAUUAAAGAGUCUAUAGGUGUAACUAUCCGCUAUCCACUGCGUGGAGGACAGGAAGGAGUGAAUGGAAGAAAAUAGUCCUAACAAAAGUGCUCCGUAAAGGUCACGACCCUCAGCACUGAGGAAUACGGCGCACGGAGGAGGAGGAGGUGUAACUACUUUACUACCUAAGUCGUAAGUAAGUUCGGCUUCACAGAAUAAGACUCUUUUUUGUCAGAUAUCUAUUGUUUGAGGUAUUGUAUAAUUGUUUUGAGUAUUAUAUGAUAGAAAAUAAAAGUCUGGAAUUGAAUUAUAUUGUAAAAAUAAAUA